UCCGGUUUAUCACCGGCGGUCCCUGUCGAGUCCCCAACUAAAUGCUGGCAACAUGCGACGGGGGUUGCGCUCGUUGCGGGACUUAACCCAACAUCUCACGACACGAGCUGACGACGGCCAUGCACCACCUGUGAACCUGCCCCGAAGGGAAACCCUGUUUCCAGGGCGGUCAGGUACAUGUCAAGCCCAGGUAAGGUUCUUCGCGUUGCGUCGAAUUAAACCACAUGCUCCGCUGCUUGUGCGGGCCCCCGUCAAUUCCUUUGAGUUUUAGCCUUGCGGCCGUACUCCCCAGGCGGGGCACUUAAUGCGUUAGCUUCGGCACGGAGGGAGUCGACACCCCCCACACCUAGUGCCCAUCGUUUACGGCGUGGACUAC
rnacentral:misc_RNA from 1 species